rnacentral:lncRNA from 1 species
GGAAACAAAGAAUAUCACUACUGUAUAAACAAAAAGUUUGAGAGUAAGCAUUACAUAAUCUCCAAUUUUUUUUUUUGUUAAGGAAUAGAUUACCCAUUUUUCCUUACCACACGGAUCCACUAGAAUGGGUUUUCUUUAUUUUGACACCUAAAAAUGCAAAAAUCAAUUCUUAAAAAAAUUGCAAGAAUUGACUUAAUUUUUUCGUUAUUUCAUAAUCCUGAUGUAUGAUACCAUUUAGUGCUCCUUCUAUUCGGAUCCAGAGUUUAAAAUUUGUACUAAAAUAAAAGUAAUUCUGGAUCAUCAAUCUCCCCUCUUCUUUGUCUUUUUUGAUGGAAGAAAAUAUUAAUAUUCAUUUUAAACUUGGCAUCACCCAGAACAUCCAUCGAGUAUAAAGAAAAUAACAACUCAGCUACACUCGUCAUCCUAACUAGGUUCAUACGCAUAGGUUGCUACGGGACAAUUAACCUUUUGUAUUAAAAAAUAUACGGAUCGCACAAUAAGAUAAUAAUACUGUAAACUAUUUACUAAUGUUAAAUUAACAUUUAAUCUAAAAACAGAGUUCAUGAAAUUAAUAUAUGUAUAGACCUUUUCGUGAUGUAGCUAAGAUAAUAUUUUAUAUCAGCCGGAAAAUUUUUUCGAUAUCCAUUUCUUUUGUGCUUCAAUAAAUUCACGAAUAAGUUUUGUCGUAUCUUCAUACCAUCAUGUACACAAGUUCAAAUAUAUAUGUAAAUAUUAAUGUCUGUCACAUGAGUAAUAAAGUCUUGAAAAAUCUCUCACAAAACCUUAAAACAAAAUAUGUUAUACUUACUAUAUAAAUAUAUGUGGCUUUAGAUCUAUUCGACACAAAGACAUACAUUGAGCCAUUAGAAAGAAAGGACAUUGAAAUUGCCUAUGUUUGAUUGAGUAUUAUGACUUGCAUCUAUUACCUCUCACACUGUCACACAAGAAUUCAUACUCCCUCCAUACUCGAUUUUGUUGACGUUCUGGGCUCCCUCCACGAUUUCGUAAAGCUUGACGUUAGACGCUCGCGCUGCCCCGCCUGGACAGAUUUGCCCUUGGCUAGCAUGCAUCCUUUCAACUCUAGCCAUUAAUCACUCUAUGCCUCGUUACUUGGACGCCACCUAUUCUUGGCUCUCGCGCGAGCAACUUGUGGACUCUCGCACGAGCGUGAUUAAAGGCCGCAACACGCGCUGCAGCCAUGCAAAAGAAAAAGGUUCUCGCGCGAGCAACUUGUGGACUCUCGCACGAGCGUGAUUAAAGGCCGCAACACGCGCUGCAGCCAUGCAAAAGAAAAAGGUUGGCCCCAAGACUCGAACCAGCGACCUCUGGCCUCGGCCUAUGGAGCUCACGCCACUCGAGCUAUGACAGAUUAUUGUCAAAGAAGCAAUCACAACGCUAUUUAAUAGGGGCGAAACAGGAAAACUAAUCCCUACUUAAUCAUUCCUUGGUUAGCGCAAUCCUGUCUAAAACGUCAACAAAUUCGAGUAUGGAGGGAGUAUUGCUGAAAAUGACAUUCCUUGUGCAUUCUCGACACUGAACACCAUUGAUGAGCAUAAGCUGCUCCUUCCCAAGUAAUUGUCCAUACGUUGCAAUGAGAACAAAAUAAAAAUAUCAUGAUAAUAUUAAGUUUGAACAUGUAUAUUAGCAUGAGUGUUAUUUCUUUGUGUAAUUGCAGCAUUUCACCAUGUUUCUCGACUUUUCUUGAACAGUCUCCACUCCACAGGAAGGGAACAUCAAUCAACUUAAAAAGCACCUUAUAUGUCAUUGAAAUAUAUACUCAUCUCUCCAAUGCCAAAAAAACACCAUCUCCAUUUAAUACUGGUCUAGCCUCCUUCCUCUUUUGCAUGGCCUUGUUUACUUCCCAGAAAAUUUUGCAAAAUUUUUCACAUUUCUCGUCACAUCGAAUCUUUAGACGCAUAUAUGGAGUAUUAAAUAUAGACGAAAAUAAAAACCAAUUGCACAAUUUGGUCGAAAUUGACGAGACGAAUCUUUUGAGUCUAGUUAGUGCAUGAUUGGACAAUAUUUCUCAAAUACAAACGAAAAUGCUACCGUGUCUGUUUUCAAAAUUUUUUAGAACUAAACAACGCUUCUCCCACUCACUAGAUCAUUGCUGCUCAUUGUCAGAUGUAGCAAGUGCAGGAACUCCGGCCUUGUUUAGUUCCCAAAAAUUUUUGCAUUUCCCGUCACAUCGAAUCUUUAAACACAUGCAUAAAGUAUUAAAUAUAGAUAAAAAUAAAAACUAAUUGCACAGUUUGGUCGGAAUUGACGAGACAAAUCUUUUAAGUCUAGUUAGUCUAUGAUUGAACAAUAUUUGUCAAAUACAAACGAAAGAGCUACGGUGUCGAUUUUGCAAAAUAUUUUGGAACUAAACAAAGGCCCUAGUGAAUGCGAGAAUGUGGCAUUGACUCAGGAGGGCUACAUGGGCCGAGACUUCAUUUGCCUCCACCCACCCAAUAUUAGUGGAAAACAUAAACAAUAGAGGAUGGAAACGCAUGGAGUAACCCACAUGAUAAAGUGUCCAAAGAAGCCAUGCAACACAAAAUUCAUAGAAAUUCUCAAUGCAUACAAUUUUUUUUGACCCUAACAGCUACUUCAAUAGUGUAGUUGAAGUAGGUGGAUUUCAGAAAGAUUGGCAAAAAAUGAAAAUGUAGAAGGCUACUGGAGCAUUUUUUUAGAAAAUUUAUGUGCUACCUUGACAAUGAUUUCACAUGAGUGAACCUGAGGCUCAUUAGUUACUGAGCUACUCAAUGCAUUUGCUAAGAUAGGACAUUGAAAUGAAAGAAAUACAUAGGCGCAGGCAUGGAAGCCUUCCUCACGUGUUUGAGCAUGCAAACCUAGUUCUGGUUAUUAUUGCAUAAUUGCAGUGUAGUUCAAAGCUUCUUUACGUGCAUGCAAACUUAGUCCUUUUUUAUGGUAGCUUCCUUUGUGUUUUUCUCUUUUGGCCUAUAUCUUUCUCAAUCUGCAACACCUUAUACAAAUUAGCUAGUUGAUGUGCUAUGUGAAAUGAACUUUACUGAAUUUAUAAUAUGAUUUUCCGAAAGAAAAGAUGAUUCAAUUGAUCUCAACUAAAGUCUAUCAAUUCAAAGUGUCAUUAACAUUAAGAGAGCAAAUUCAACAACAUUUGCAAAGCCUAAAUACCAUGCCUAAUAGAUGUCUACAGUUAUAAGCACCUCUCAAUCUGAAUUUCUAAUGGACUGUGAUUUUUAGUAUAACUGUGAGGACUAAGGACAUGCCAGAAAGAAUGUAAAAUUCUAACAAAUGCCAAUGGGAAGUUCAUCCACAGAACAACCUAGAUGCCCAACUACAAUUGCAGAUAAGAUAAACGAGCUCUAAACUAAAACUCAGAUCCUAACUCAUACAACGAAUCAAACCAUGCACGUGCGGCACAUAUAUACUGGCAUAUUUUACUUUUAACUUUUGAUCAGAGCCAAGAGUAACAAGAGCUGCUGGCAAAAUAUGAGUUGAUGCAAUGGUCUUGAAAUUAUUGGGGAUAUCAAUGGUCAGCAAGAGAAAACUACAAACGUCUGAAAUAUUUGAACCCUACUAUACUAUGGAUCUCAAUCACCAGCAACCCAUCUAUCAGAAAUUCGGGAGUAUUCAAAUUCACAUGAACCACUGAAACCCCAAAAUUCCAUGGGAGACAUUGUUACAUCAAAGCAAAGCUACAUUUGGAAGUCAACAAAACUGUGUUGGAGUAUUCAUACUCACAUGAUCUGCCAAAACAAUAAAAUUCCAUGGGAGACAGUGUUACAUCAAAGCGAAACUGCAUUUGGAAGCACUACUACAAAAAAAAUUUUAGGAGACAUUUUGUUUUGGGCCACCGAGGCGGCCGGCUGGCGGCCCGCCUCGGUUAACCUGGGCUGGGCUGCCAGCCGAGCGACCGUUACGGAUAAUUGUUUAACCGUGGCGGUCACUGUAAGCAAACCGCCGCGGUUAAUCUUACGUUAACCGCGACGGUUGUCGUAAAUAAACCGCCUCGGUUAAUCUAUUAACCGUGGCGGUUGGUUUAGGGAAACCGCCUUGGUUAAUCGUUUAACCAUGGCGGGCCGCUUAAGCGAACCGUCACGGUUAAUGCUUCAACCGUGGUGGCUUCUUUUACAGCGACCGCCACGGUUAAUUGUUCAUUAACCGUGGCGGUUUCUUUAAACUGCCCGCCACAGUUAAGUCUGUGCCUAUAAAAGCAACAACCCCGACCCCCUUCUUCUUCCCCGUGGCUCCUUCUUCAUUUAUUAGGGUUUUGACCUCAAAACCCUAAUAUUUAAUAUCUUAGAGGGGAAAACUUUUUGCCCUUUUAUUUGGUGAAGGGGGGCAUUGCAAGAGGUGGAUUUCUUACUCUCUAACUCUCAUUUCUCCCUUUGCAUUAUUUAGGUGGUUUGCUAGAUCUAGAUCUAGAUCCAAAUGUUUUAGAUCUAGAUCCAAAUGGAGGAGAGAAAUAAAACUAGAUUUAGGGCUACUCACAUGUUUUCAUAUAUCUUUAUUUGUUUUUCUCCCUUUGUGUGUGCUAGGUGGUCGCAGCUAUGGACAGAGAAGAGUGGAUGUAUAAGAUACCGAGGGUCAGUAACGAUUUAGCUUUUCUAGGACAUGUGAGAAAGUUUGUUGCCGCUGCGAAAAAGCACCGUGUGUCUUUGGGUCGAGAGCGCAUCAUUUGUCCGUGCAAUAGUUGUAAGAACAACCUUGUACAGGAAGAUAACGUGGUGCAGUCUCACUUGAUGCGGCAUGGCUUCGUCAAGGACUACACCAUCUGGAAGUAUCACGGUGAAGAAGCAGAUCCAAGUGUGACAGGUGCAUCUGGCGGAGGUAACUCGUCAACGGUGAAUGAUGGGGGACGACAACCAUCUGCAUCGGUGGGCCUCCAUGAUCUGUUUGAAGACGGUGUCGGUGAUGAUGAUGAGCAGGGUUGAAAGCCCUAGUUUGGUUUUGGAUAAUUGAUGAAACCCUAGUACUAACCUCCAUAAUAAGUGUGUGUAGACUUAAUGAGGUUGGUAUAUGCCAAGUGAUGGAGCAAGUGAUGAUCAUGGUGAUGAUGGUGAUGACCACAAGAUGAUCAAGUGCUCAACUUGGAAAAGAAGAAAGAGAAAAACAAAACUCUAUGGAGAUCAAGGCGAAGGUAUUGCUUAGGGUUUUGGUUUUGGUGAUCAAGACACCAUAGAGGGUGUGAUCACAUUUAGUAUAGAUAGCCGUACUAUAAAGAGGGGAAUUCUUUGGCUAAGCGGUUAUCAAGUGCCACUAGGUGUCAUUGUUCAUGUGCAUGCAUUUAGAACCUAGUGAGCUAACUUAACUCCUUCGAAGAAAAUGUUUGUGAAAAUGCUAACACACGUGCACUUGUUGGUUUACACAUUGUGGUGUUGGCACACUUUGAGAAGGAGGUGGAGUUUGAAGGGUAGAGAGAGGAUGGGUUCCUCUCUCCUUCCCACCGAGCUUGCGAGGCGGGAUUCGGUGCUUUUCGAGAAAAUGAAGUGUAUAUUUUCUAUUGCGCCGGUGGGAAAUUUGGAGAAGUCGCGGGAGUGUUUCUCGCUGAGAAAACACUCAACGGACGCUGGCUUCUGGAGCACCGGACGCUGCGUCUGAGCGUCCGGUGCAGACAGUGCCUGACCCAGUUAGGGUAAGGCACCGGACGAUAGGCACUGGACGCUGGCUUGAGCGUCCGGUGGUGCGCGUCCGGUGUGCGGGCGUUUUGCAACCCUCUCUGCGCAUGGGUCCGGUGAGCACCGGACGCUACCGGUGCUUAGCGUCCGGUGACCCGCAGGUUUGCGGAACUCCCUGCGCAUGAGUCCGGUGUGCACCGGACGCGUCCGGUGCUAACUUGCUAAGCGUCCGGUGCUUUGCAGGUUAUCGUUAGACUCUGACAUGAGCAUUUCAAAAGGUGACACGUGGCUAACGUUGGAGCACCGGACGCUGGUGUUGAGCGUCCGGUGAUCCCGUAUUUCGCCCAGUGAAAGAGCCAACGGCUCUAUUUGUUUGAGGGGCUAUAAAUACAUGUUUGGCCGGCUUGGGGCUUACACUCUUGGCAUUCUAACAUACUUGACAUCCUUGUGAGCCUAAGCAAAUACCUCCCACUCAUCUGCUUCAUAGAUUAAACAUCUUUUGUGAGAUUGGGAGUGAUUCCAAGUGCAUUUGCUUGAGUUAUUGCAUCUAGUGGCACUUGGGGAUUGUUCUAGCUACGGUUUUCUUGUUACUCUUGGUGGUUGCCGCCACCUAGACGGCUUGGAGCAGCGGAGGAGGAUUGGCACGAGUUGGUGAUUGUUCGUGGCCAUCUCCUGGUGAUUGUGAGGGGUCUUGUACCUUCCCCGGCGGAGAGCCGAAAGGUAACUCUAGUGGAUUACUCGUGUCAUUGAGUUACCUCACUUGUGGGUAGGUUCUUGUGGUGUCCUAGUGAGGACGAGGCUCGUGCUACACUUCUUAGCCACCGAACCACCAAGUGUUGGUCGACACAACGGGGACGUAGCGUGCCGGCAAGCACGUGAACCUCGGGAGAAAAAUUGUUUGUCUCCAUUGUGCUUGUUCAUUGGAUUUCUCCCGGUGAUUGGACUUCAUAUUAUUGAUUGGUUCAUCCCCUCUACGCGGUGGUAUAAAGAUCAAACUAUCUCUCUUACUUUCCCGCAAACUAGAGUAGUUUAAUUCUUGUAUAGAAACUUUAGAUAGCUCUCUAGUGUAAGUAGUGACAUAGCUCUUGUGUGCCUAGAGAUUAUAUCAACUAGAAUUGUUGGAUAGGUGGCUUGCAAACACCCCUUUAGAGCUAGAGCAAAAAGCUUCGCUUCGUUAUUUACUAACCUCUUGCUCUAGUGAGUUUGUAGAAUUUUUAAAUAGGCUAUUCACCCCCCUCUAGCCAUAUUAGGACCUUUCAAGUGGUAUCAGAGCCGUGGUCACCGUUUUGUGAAGGCUUAACAACCUUGGUGCUCAAAUUAUGGAUCAAAUAGUGUUCAACCAUGUUGGGGGCAAACCACCGUUCUUUGAUGGCACAAGUUCUUUUGACUAUUGGAAAAGAAAGAUGAAAAUGUAUCUUGGAUCAAUAAAUGAUAGAGUGUGGGAAGUCACCGAAAAUGACUUUGUGAUUCUUGAUCCGGCUAACCCCACCGACAAUGAGAGAGCAAACAAGCAAUGCAAUACUAUGGCUCUCAACACAAUAUACAAUGGUAUUGAUUCAAAGGUGUUUGAGCAAGUCAAAGAUCUUGAGAAGGCUAGUGAGGUGUGGACAAGGCUUGAAGAAACAUAUGAGGGCACUACAACGGUAAAAAGUGCCAAGUUGUACAUGCUCAAGGACAAGCUAUCAAACUUCAAGAUGAAGGAUGAUGAGUCAAUUCCAGAGAUGUUCUAUAGGCUCCAAGUCAUCAUCAAUGAUCUCAAGGGCCUUGGUGAGAAAGUGAAGGAUGAGGACUUCAUUCACAAGUUCUUGAUGUGCUUGCCCAAGAGGUUCAAGACAUUGAGAACAAUUAUCUUUAGAGGUGGAUUGACGGGUGUAUCUCCCAAUGAGGUACUUAGAGAUGUCAUGACCGAAGAUCAAUACAAUGAUAAUGAUGAUGAUGAAGUCAUGAAGAAGGAUGAUGAUGACAAGAAGAAGAAGAGUGUAGCAUUCAAAGCUAGCUCUUCAUCCAAGAGUAAGAACAAGGGCAAGGCCAAGAAGGAAGAAUCAAGUGAUGAGGAGUGCUCCAAUGAUGAUAGUGAUGAUGAAGCACUAGCACUCUUCGUCCGCAAGUUUGGCAAGAUGAAGAAGAAGAAGGGCUAUCACACAAGAAAGAGAAGAGAUCACUUCAAGAACAAGGAGCAUGUGAGGCUAUGCUACAAGUGUAAAAGCCCCGAUCAUAUUGUGGCGGAUUGUCCUUACAAUAGUGACAAUGAUGAGCAUGACAAGAAGAACAAGAAGGAGAAGAAAGAAAAGAAGGAGAAGAAGAUGGUCUUCAAAAAGAGAAGAAGGGUGGAUCCUAUGUUGUGACAUGGGAUAGUGAUGCCUCUUCGGAUGAUGAUUCAAGUGAUGAUGACAAAGCAUCCAAGAAGAAGGCACUUGCUAGCAUUGCUAUCAACAACAAGCCAUCACUCUUCGACACUCCUUCAUGCUUCAUGGCCAAGGGCCACAAGGUACAAUAUGAUGAGAGUGAAAGUGAAAGUGAACAUGAACAUGAUAGUGAUAGUGAUGAUGAAAAUGAAUUCACUAAUGAACAACUCAUGGACAUGUUAGAACAAGCCGAUUCUCUUAUUCAAUCUAAAAACAAGAAGUGCAAAGAAUUGGCCAAGAAGUUAAAAGCUCUUGAGCAAUCCUUUGAUGAGCUCAAUGCUAAUCAUGAGAGGCUAGUGGAAGCCCAUGAGAAGCUUGGCAAGGCUCACACCAAGCUUGAGAAAGCUCACUCCUUGUUGUUAGAAGAGAACAAGGAAAAGGUUGUUGUAUCAUGUGAUGUGGGCACAACAUGUGACUUAAUUAAAGAAUCACCCAACCAACCUAUUAUUGUUGCCACUAACUCUUCUUGUAGGUCUUCAUCCACCACCACCAACUCUACCUCCACUUCUAGUGUUAGUGUCACUUGUGACACCUCACUAAAGGUUGAGAAUGAGACUCUCAAGAGAGAGGUGGAUGAGCUCACUCAUGCCCUAGGCAAAGCCUAUGGUGGUGAGGCCCGCUUGCUAAAGUGCUUGGGUAGCCAAAGGUUUUCUCUCAAUAAAGAGGGAUUAGGCUAUACCCCCAAGAAAGGCAAGAAAGCCUUUGCAACUCACUAGCCUAGCUUUGUGAAGAGCAAUGGUCGGUAUUGCAACAAAUGCAAGCAAGUUGGGCACUUAGAGCUUAAUUGCAACAAAACGAACAAGAACAAGAAAAAUGCUAAUGUACCUUACAUUCCUUUUGAUUCUUGUUAUGUGCUUACCAAGGGUGAGAAGGGUGUGCAUGCUAAGUUUGUUGGUACACCAAUUGUGGGUCCAAAGAAGAAGGCCAUUUGGGUACCAAAAAGCUUAGUCACUAACCUCCAAGGACCCAAACAAGUAUGGGUACCUAAGAAACAUUGAUUUGUUUUGUAGGUAAACUAUAAAGCCGGAGGAAGGCAUUGGGUGCUUGAUAGUGGGUGCACACAACACAUGACCGGUGAUUCAAGAAUGUUCAAUUCAAUCAAUCAAAAUGAUGACAAUGGUGUUGAUAGUAUCACAUUUGGUGACAAUGGCAAAGGCAAGGUCAAAGGACUUGGUAAAAUUGCUAUAUCCAAUGACUUGAGCAUUUCCAAUGUGCUACUAGUAGAGAGCUUGAACUUCAACUUGCUAUCCGUAGCUCAACUUUGUGAUCUUGGUUUCAAAUGCAUAUUUGGAGUUGAUGAUGUAGAGAUCAUAAGUGUAGAUGGCUCCAACUUGAUAUUCAAAGGCUUUAGAUAUGAGAAUCUAUACUUGGUUGAUUUCAAUGCUAGUGAAGCUCAAUUGUCAACAUGCUUGCUCACUAAAUCUAGCAUGGGUUGGUUAUGGCAUAGAAGGCUUGGUCAUGUUGGAAUGAAACAAUUGAACAAGUUAGUCAAACAUGAUCUUGUUAGAGGAUUGAAAGAUGUCACAUUUGAGAAAGACAAGCUUUGUAGUGCAUGUCAAGCCGAAAAGCAAGUUGGCAACACUCAUCCAAAGAAGAGCAUCAUGAGUACAUGCAAGCCAUUUGAGUUGUUGCACAUGGAUCUAUUUGGACCAACCACAUACACAAGCAUUGGUGGAAACAAAUAUGGAUUUGUGAUAGUGGAUGAUUUCACAAGAUAUACAUGGGUAUUCUUUCUUAGUGACAAGAGUGAUGCUUUUGCAACCUUCAAAUCAUUUGUCAAGAGAAUACACAAUGAGUUUGAAACAACCAUCAAGAAAGUGAGAAGUGACAAUGGAAGUGAAUUCAAGAAUACAAGAGUUGAUGAGCUAUGUGAUGAUUUUGGUAUUAGGCAUCAAUUCUCGGCCAAGUACACUCCACAAUCAAAUGGUCUUGUUGAAAGGAAGAAUAGAACCUUGAUUGACAUGGCAAGAUCAAUGUUGAGUGAAUACAAUGUGAGUCAUUCUUUUUGGGCCAAAGCAAUCAACACGGCUUGCUACUAUAGCAACCGACUCUAUUGUCACCCAAUGAUGGAGAAGACACCAUAUGAACUCUUGAAUGGAAGAAAGCCCAACAUUACAUACUUUCGGGUUUUUGGUUGCAAAUGCUACAUAUUGAAGAAAGGCACUAGAAUGAGCAAAUUUGAAAAGAAAUGUGAUGAAGGAUUCUUGCUUGGUUACUCAACUACUAGCAAAGCUUAUAGAGUUUGGAAUUUGGCUAGUGGUACUCUUGAGGAGGUGCAUGAUGUUGAGUUUGAUGAAACCAAUGGCUCUCAAGAGGAAGAAGAAAAUCUAGAUGAUGUGAGAGGCACUCAAUUGGCCGAUGUAAUGAAGAAUAUGGACAUUGGUGAUUUAAGGCCUAGAGAAGUGAUUGAUGUUAAAGAUGACAAAGAUCAAGUGCUUCCUACCUCUAAUGUGCAAGCUAGUGGUUCUCAUGAUCAAAAUCAAGCUAGUACAAGUGGUACUCAAGUGCAAGAUCAACAAGCUAGUACAUCAUCCCAUGAUCAACCAAGCGCAAGCAAUCAAGUGCAAAUACUCCAACCAACAAAUAUUGCAAGAGAUCAUCCAUUGGAUCAUAUCAUUGGUGAUAUUCAAAGAGGAGUGCAAACUAGAUCAAGAUUAGCAUCAUUUUGUGAGCAUUUCUCUUUUGUGUCUCACAUUGAGCCAAAGAAGAUUGAUGAAGCAUUGAGAGAUGUUGAUUGGGUCAAUGCUAUGCAUGAAGAGCUUAACAAUUUCAAGAGAAAUCAAGUAUGGGAAUUAGUUGAGAGGCCUAGUGAUCACAAUGUUAUUGGUACUAGAUGGGUCUUUCGUAAUAAGCAAGAUCAAGAUGGGAUAGUUGUAAGGAACAAAGCAAGAUUGGUAGCACAAGGCUAUACUCAAGUUGAAGGUCUUGACUUUGGUGAAACAUAUGCCCCGGUUGCAAGAUUGGAAGCAAUUAGGAUCUUGUUGGCCUAUGCUUGUGCACAUAACAUCAAGCUAUAUCAAAUGGAUGUGAAAAGUGCAUUUCUCAAUGGCUAUAUCAAUGAAGAAGUCUAUGUUGAGCAACCUCCCGGUUUUGAAGAUGACAAGAAACCCAACCAUGUUUACAAGCUAAGAAAGGCAUUGUAUGGUUUGAAGCAAGCACCAAGAGCAUGGUAUGAGAGAUUGAGAGAUUUCUUACUCUCUAAAGGUUUCAAGAUGGACAAGGUUAACACCACUCUCUUUACCAAGAAGAUUGGCAAGGACUUGUUUGUGUUGCAAAUCUAUGUUGAUGAUAUCAUAUUUGGAUCAACCAACCAAGAAUUUUGUGAAGAGUUUGGAAAUAUGAUGGCUAAUGAAUUUGAGAUGUCAAUGAUUGGAGAGCUUAGUUACUUCCUUGGUCUUCAAAUCAAGCAAUUGAAGAAUGGCACAUUUGUGAGUCAAGGCAAGUACAUAAAAGACAUGCUCAAGAAGUUUGGAAUGGAUGAUGCAAAGGCAAUUAGCACUCCAAUGGGAACAAAUGGAAGCCUAGAUAAUGAUACAAGUGGAAAUAUGGUGGAUCAAAAGUUGUAUCGGUCUAUAAUUAGAAGCCUACUCUAUGUGACCGCAUCAAGACCGGAUGUCAUGUUUAGUGUAUGCAUGUGUGCAAGAUUCCAAGCCUCACCAAGAGAAAGCCAUUUGAAGGCAACUAAAAGAAUAUUGAGGUACUUGAAGCAUACACAAAAUGUUGGUUUGUGGUAUCCCAAAGGUGCAAAGUUUGAACUUGUUGGAUAUUCCGAUUCGGACUAUGCGGGAUGCAAAGUUGAAAGAAGAAGCACAUCGGGCACAUGUCAACUAUUGGGAAGAUCACUUGUCUCAUGGUCAUCCAAGAAGCAAAAUAGUGUUGCACUAUCAACUGCCGAAGCGGAGUACAUUGCGGCCGAUAGUUGUUGUGCACAAAUCCUAUGGAUGAAGGCAACAUUGAAAGAUUUUGGAAUCAACUUCAAGCAAGUGCCAUUGCUAUGUGACAAUGAAAGUAUCGUGAAGCUCACCAACAAUCUGGUCCAACAUUCAAGAACAAAGCAUAUAGAUGUCCGCCAUCACUUCAUAAGAGAUCAUCAACAAAAAGGGGACAUUUGCAUUGAGAGUAUAGGCACCGAUGAUCAACUUGCCGAUAUAUUCACCAAGCCACUUGAUGAGAAGAGGUUUUGCAAGCUAAGGAAUGAAUUGAACAUACUUGACUUCUCAAAUAUGUGUUGAUGCACCCCCACUUUAUGACAUGCCUCUCUUUCGAGCAAAGCAAGGUGAAAUUGUUUGACAUGUCAUCCAUCUUUGCUAAGGACUUGUUUAGUGCAUCUAGUCAUUCUUUACAUGUCUUAGGCUCAUUCAUGAAAAUCAAAUGAAUUUGAUGCUUAUAUGGUACCACUAUUGCUUCUAUGCUUGACUUGAUCUAGUGGUAGCAUAUGACAUGUUUGUGGGCUUGCAAUCCUAGUGUUUGAUCUAGGAUAUGAGCUAUAAGUGUUUAACUCAACAUGGUACAAGAUAACCCUUAUUUGGAGGUGUGAAGAAGCUUGUCCUUGGAUCAAACCGAGUUAAAUAUCUUAGGCAAGUAAUCUAGAUUGGACCAAUUUGGGAAAAUGAUCUCACUUCACAUGGUUUCACACUAACCUAUCUAAAAUUUGAGCUCACCUUUUGUGGUCUUUGAUGACAAAGGGGGAGAGAAUUUCCCAAAGAUUUAAGAUAGAGGAGUAACAUGAUAAGAGUAACAUGAUAAAAGAAGGGGAUCAAUUAAAAUUUUGAAGCACACAAGUACAGGGAGCAAGCUCAUAAACUUGUAUGUUGCACUUGAAUGUGCAUCACAUAUGUUUGCUUGCAUUUGCAUUAGCUUUAGAAGCUUACUCUCUGAUGCCUUGCUUGUGUGGUGUAUGCUAGUUAUAGGUUUGAUUGAUGAAAUUAAGAACUAGCAUGCAUAGGUAGUGUAACUAGACCUUUACUUGUUUCACAAGUGGUACUAGAACCUUGUUUUUAACGUUGAUCUCAUGGGGUGUUCUAGUUUUGUGAAUGUCUAGUUACUAAUGGUGCUAAGGAUGGUGUAUAUUGGCAACUCCGAUUGGUAUCACGCUUCAAAGGUCCAUUCUUUACACCUUAGCAUCAUUUGGUAGAAAUUGACUCCUAUAUUUCCUAUUCAAGCAUAUGUGCAAGCUUUCAAAUCCAAACUCUUAGCACAUAUGUAGGGGGAGCAAUUGCUACCAAUUUGGGUUUAUGAAACUUGUCCAUAACCUUUGCACAUGGUAAAAUGCUUGGGCAAGCAACAUGAAUCCAAGAAAAUUUUAUUGAAAAUCUUUGUAAAAAGGGUUGUCAUCAAUUACCAAAAAGGGGGAGAUUGAAAGCCCUAGUUUGGUUUUGGAUAAUUGAUGAAACCCUAGUACUAACCUCCAUAAUAAGUGUGUGUAGACUUAAUGAGGUUGGUACAUGCCAAGUGAUGGAGCAAGUGAUGAUCAUGGUGAUGAUGGUGAUGACCACAAGAUGAUCAAGUGCUCAACUUGGAAAAGAAGAAAGAGAAAAACAAAACUCUAUGGAGAUCAAGGCGAAGGUAUUGCUUAGGGUUUUGGUUUUGGUGAUCAAGACACCAUAGAGGGUGUGAUCACAUUUAGGAUAGAUAGCCGUACUAUAAAGAGGGGAAUUCUUUGGCUAAGCGGUUAUCAAGUGCCACUAGGUGUCAUUGUUCAUGUGCAUACAUUUAGAACCUAGUGAGCUAACUUAACUCCUUCGAAGAAAAUGUUUGUGAAAAUGCUAACACAUGUGCACUUGUUGGUUUACACAUUGUGGUGUUGGCACACUUUGAGAAGGAGGUGGAGUUUGAAGGGUAGAGAGAGGAUGGGUUCCUCUCUCCUUCCCACCGAGCUUGCGAGGCGAGAUUCGGCGCUUUUCGAGAAAAUGAAGUGCAUAUUUUCUAUUGCGCUGAUGGGAAAUUUGGAGAAGUCGCGGGAGUGUUUCUCGCUGAGAAAACACUCACCGGACGCUGGCUUCUGGAGCACCAGACGCUGCGUCUGAGCGUCCGGUGCAGACAGUGCCUGACCCAGUUAGGGUAAGGCAUCGGACGAUAGGCACCGGACGCUGGCUUGAGCGUCCGGUGGUGCGGGCGUUUUGCAACCCUCUCUGCGCAUGGGUCCGGUGAGCACCGGACGCUACCGGUGCUUAGCGUCCGGUGACCCGCAGGUUUGCAGAACUCUCUGCGCAUGAGUCUGGUGUGCACCGGACGCGUCCGGUGCUAACUUGCUAAGCGUCCGGUGCUCUGCAGGUUACCGUUAGACUCUGACACGAGCGUUUCAAAAGGUGACACGUGGCUAACGUUGGAGCACCGGACGCUGGUGUUGAGCGUCCGGUGCCCCUUUAAGAGCGUCCGGUGACCCCGUAUUUCGCCCAGUGAAAGAGCCAACGGCUCUAUUUGUUUGAGGGGCUAUACAUACAUGUUUGGCCGGCUUGGGGCUUACACUCUUGGCAUUCUAACAUACUUGACAUCCUUGUGAGCCUAAGCAAACACCUCCCACUUAUCUCCUUCAUAGAUUAAACAUCUUUUGUGAGAUUGGGAGUGAUUGCAUCUAGUGGCACUUGGGGAUCGUUCUAGCUGCGGUUUUCUUGUUACUCUUGGUUGUUGCCGCCACCUAGACGGCUUGGAGCAGCGGAGGAGGAUUGGCACGAGUUGGUGAUUGUUCGUGGCCAUCUCCCGGUGAUUGUGAGGGGUCUUGUACCUUCCCCGGCGGAGAGCCGAAAGGUAACUCUAGUGGAUUACUCGUGUCAUUGAGUUACCUCACUUGUGGGUAGGUUCUUGUGGUGUCCUAGUGAGGACGAGGCUCGUGCUACACCUCUUAGCCACCGAACCACCAAGUGUUGGUCGACACAACGGGGACGUAGCGUGCCGGCAAGCACGUGAACCUCGGGAGAAAAAUUGUUUGUCUCCAUUGUGCUUGUUCAUUGGAUUUCUCCCGGUGAUUGGACUUCAUAUUAUUGAUUGGUUCAUCCCCUCUACGCGGUGGUAUAAAGAUCAAACUAUCUCUCUUACUUUCCCGCAAACUAGAGUAGUUUACUUCUUGUAUAGAAACUUUAGAUAGCUCUCUAGUGUAAGUAGUGACAUAGCUCUUGUGUGCCUACAGAUUAUAUCAACUAGAAUUGUUGGAUAGGUGGCUUGCAAACACCCCUUUAGAGCUAGAGCAAAAAGCUUCGCUUCGUUAUUUACUAACCUCUUGCUCUAGUGAGUUUGUAGAAUUUUUAAAUAGGCUAUUCACCCCCUCUAGCCAUAAUAGGACCUUUCAAGGGUGAUGUUUUCUUGGGGCCCGAAGAUGUGGAGAUUUUUUUAAAUGUUGCUAACUGUAUGGAUCAAGAUGACGUUCUGUUUGGAAAUCCGAAGUGGUUGGAGAAUUUCAAAGAGAUGAAGCAGACAGCAAUUGAUCCCCUGUAUGAGGGUUGUCCAAAGCAUUUGACGGUGUUGAGUUUUAACCUCCAGAUGCUCAUGCUGAAGGCUCGCCAUGGGUGGUCCGACACAAGCUUUAAUGACCUGUUAGAGAGGCUUGCUAACUCAUACCCAGAGGGUAACAAGGUGCCUGCCAAUACCUACCGAGCGAAGAAGAUGAUCCGUCCAGUGGCGAUGACGCUUAAAAAGUUUCAUGCAUGCCCUAACCACUGUAUUCUAUAUCGGGGUAAGUAUGAGAACUUGCAGAGCUGUCCGCACUGCGGCGCAAGCCGAUAUAAGAGGAAUACCGGUUGUCGUGCAGACGCGGAUGUUGAGGGACCAACAAAGAGAGGGAACAAGAAAGCGAAGAUCCAGAUGGCCAAGAAACAGAUCCCAUCUCCCGAGGAUGAGGAAGAAGGGGGUUACAUGCAGAGGAAAAGCCCUGCACUCUCAGUGUGGUACCUAGCAGUGAUCGAUCGCCUACGUGCGCUAUUCGGGAACCCAGAGGAUGCCCAACUGAUGUCGUGGCAUGCAUCAGCAGAACGAAUGAAGGAUGAUGGCAAGUUGCGACACCCCUCUGAUGGCAAGCAGUGGAAGCGGUUUGACGCCAAGUUUCCGAAAGAGUUCGGUGAUGAGGCGAGGAAUGUUAGGUUCGCACUAAGUACCGAUGGGAUGAAUCCGUCUGGUGACCUCAGUAGCUCCCACAGCACAUGGCCAGUCAUCCUAACCAUCUACAACCUACCUCCAUAUCUAUGUCAGAAGCGCAAGUAUAUUUUACUAACCAUGAUUAUUUCUGGACCACGACAGCCAGGCAAUGAUAUAGAUGUGUUCCUAGAGCCGCUCAUGGAGGACAUGAAGAUACUAUGGGAAAAAGGGGUCAAUAUGAUGGAUGCAUCACGAAAGGAGUACUUCACUCUUAAAGCCAUCAUCUUUGUCACCAUCACCGAUUACCCUAGCCUCUUUUCACUAUCGGGGCAGAUCAAAGGUAAGUCAGGUUGUGUAGUCUGCAUUGACGGUACAUGCUAUACUUACCUUAGUGCAUCAAAAAAGUUGGUGUACAUGAGGCACAGGCGAUUCCUUGACAAAAAGCACAGGUACCGACACCCUUCAAUGAAUCAAUUCUUUGAUAACCAGGCAGAACCUGAAACUGUUGAGCCCAAGAAGACGGGUUAUGGGCAAAAGGUUUUUGACAUUGUCAAGGGCAUAAACUUUGAGUUUGGGAAGAAGAAGAAAGUUGAGCAAGGUGAGACCAUAACAACGAAGAAGAGGAAGCGGGGUACGAUGGAGGAAGAAGGAAAGCCUACCCCUGUUGUUCCUUUUAAAAAGCAGUCGUGUUUCUUCAAGUACCUUCCGUACUGGAAGGAGCUAGAUACGCCUCAUGCCAUCGACUGCAUGCACCUAGAGAAGAAUGUGUUUGAGAGCACGAUCGGGGUCCUGCUAGACAUCAAGACUAAGACGAAGGAUGGUCUGAAGUCACGUCUGGAUCUUGUGAACCAGGACAUUAGGACCGAAAUUCAUCCAACACCGACCGCACAAAGCGGGAAAGUGGACCUUCCGGGUGCGAGCUACAACCUCAUGACAGAUGAGAAGCGGGACAUUUGCCAGUGGCUUAGAGGUGUCAAGGUGCCAACCGGUUUCUGUUCCAACAUCAAGAGCCUAGUCUCAAUGAAGGACCUCACACUCACCAGCUUCAAUGCACAUGACUGUCAUGUCAUGCUCACAGUUUUCCUCCCAAUUGUGAUCAAGGCUAUGGAACCAGAGUACGUGAAGAUGGUAAUCACACGCCUAGGUUACUUCUUCAACUUUAUCACACAAAAGGUCAUUAAUGAAGCUGAGUUGCCAGCACUAAAACAGUUCAUUGCAGAGACACUUUGCCAACUCAAGAUGUGCUUCCCGCCAUCAUUCUUUGAUAUUAUGCCACACUUGAUGAUGCACAUGGUUGAUCAGAUACAGGAACUUGGGCCCGUCUACCUACACGAGAUGUGGACGUAUGAGAGGUUCAUGUCGACCCUGAAUAGAUAUGUCCAUAACCGUGCUUACCCGGAGGUCUCUAUGAUUGAGGCAUACACAACAGAGGAGGCCAUUAACUGCUGCAUGAAAUACAUUUGGGAUGGAAAUGCAAUUGGGCUGCCCGUCCCUGUGCAUGAAGGCAGAACCAUGGGUAUGGGGUGCACGGGGAGGAAAGUAUGCACAGAUGUACAAGAAGAACAGUUGCAAGAGGCUCAUCACAGCACCCUUAAUCAGUUAGUGGUCAUGGACACUUGGGUUGAGAUGCACCUAGAGGAGAUUCGCCGUGGUUGUAACGGACGCACAGAGGCAUGGGUACAGAGACAGCACAAGAUGAAUUUCACAAUGUGGAUCCAACAGCAGGGCAUACCUCCCUAUGGUGAAACUGAUGAAGCGAGGCUUGCAUCCGGUCCAUCCUCCCAGAUAACCUCAUGGCAUGGAUACGAUAUCAAUGGAUACAGGAUUCACACAAAACAGAAGGACAGGAAGAGCGCACCACAGAAUAGCGGUGUUCGAUAUGAGGGCAUCGACGAGGCCACAGGGGAGACCAAGACAUACUAAAAAUGGCAACGGGCACAAUGCCCGCGGAUACUAGUGCCGCAUGCCCGCACCCGCGAGCAAACUUGCGUGCCCGUAUCCGCGCCCGUCAUCCGUCACGGGUGCCAUCAUGUGCCCGCGCCCGCCAUCCGCGGGCAUUCCUUGCCCGCGGGCGUGCCCGCGUGCCCGCCAGAUCUGGCGACGAAAGGCAACUGGACGGGGAAGGCAGCUUGACGAGGACGAGGAUGUGCGCCGGCGUGAAGUAACCCGGUGCAGAGCAGCUUGACCACGGCGCAAGUAGGGAGGCGCGACGCAGCCGCCACGAGUGGAGGAGCAAAAGUCAAGUCACGUGGGUGACGGCGAGGGUCUGUGGUAGUGGGUGUCUCCAGUCACCGCGAGUGGAGAAAGAGCAGGAGCAGUCGCCGCGAGUGGAGAAAGAGCAGGAGCAGCAUGCGACCGCUCACGCGACCGAGUGGAGGAGAGCAGAGCCCGCGCAUGCGACCGAGUGGAGGAGAGUAAAGCAAGAGCCGCAUGGCUUGUGAGUUGUGACGGUGAGGAGGGGAGCAACAUGCACUGGUGACGGCGAGGAGAGGGUCGCGCGAGUGGCGGCGGCGGCCACUACUCGGCUGCUGGGACAACAAUUUGGGAGAAAAAAAACCCUAAUUUGAAGAAUAUAUACCUCCUCUUUUUAAGUGACCCCACUUGUCAGUGCGGGUUUGGCGGAUUUGCGAGUGCGGGCAAGGUAUUCUCUUGCCCGUAUAUCUUUGCCCGCUGGGCACAACUGUGUGCCCGCGCCCGUGCCCGCGGGCACAAAGUGACGCCCGUAUCCGCGCCUGCCGGGUCGGGUGCCCGCGGGCACGCGGAUAUUUCUUGCCCGUUGCCAUCUUUAAGACAUACUAUGGGCAGAUUGAAGAGAUAUGGGAACUUGACUACGGUGGUGAACUACAGAUACCAAUCUUUCGGUGCCAAUGGGUCAAGCCAAAGGCAAUUGUUGUGGACGAGUAUGGGCUAACCACUGUGGAGCUCCAAAGUGUCGGCUAUAAAGAUGAUCAGUGGGUACUAGCAAACUGUGUCGUGCAGGUAGCCUACUAUGCAAAGCCCAAAGACCCGAAGAGGCAUGUGGUUGUGUCUGGAAAGCAGAGGAUCGUGGGAGCAGAUGGAGUCCAGAGUCCCGAAGAACACAACCACUACGCAGAGUUCUCGCUCUUUACCGACCAUCCACGCAAGAUCAAUCAAGUCGAGAACCGUUUAACCAAGAGUGGCAUGAAGCCUUGGUUCCGCUCCGACGGUCAAAAGAAGUGUGUCAUAGGAUCACUCCCAAAAUGAGAUGUAUGCCAAAUGUAAUCGUACUACUUUAUUUGUAAUAAUGUACAAACUUAUCGAUUAGCAAUAACUGUUUGUGUUACUAAUUUUUAUGUAAUGGAACCAAAUGUAGUCGUACUACUACUAUUAGUACUACUACUACCAAAAUACUCAAUCCAUCCUAAAUUGUUAGUACUACUACUACCACUCGUCUUAUCUUAUACUCUUAUAAAGCUAAACCCCACUAGAGAUUUCUCUCAACAUGCAAGCUAUCCACAUCAACAAUCCACUAAAACUUGCAAUUAUAGCCAACUAGCACAUGUAAUUAUGAUAGUCAUCUCUUUAUCUACUAACAUGCAUUUAGCUGUUCAUAUUGAUGUGUCAAAUCAUUCAAUAAAAUUAAUUUAAGAUAAUUUCAUUCAUAUAACUAUAAAUAUAAAUAGUCUAAUUUUUUAUUAAAUUAUUUGAAAUUCCCGCGGCAACGCGUGGGGUAUUUUCCUAGUUCAAGAAAGGGAUGGAGGGAGUAUUUGAUAGUGUCAUCAAAAAAGGGAAAAUCAUAACUGUGGUGGGCACUCUAAUCUGCCCGCCACAGUUAAUACAUUAACCGUGGCGGGCGCCCUUAACCGCCCGCCAUAGUUAACAUUAACCGUGGCGGUUCGCCUAACCUGCCCGCCUCGGUUAAUAUACAUCUAUAUAAGACUGCGGUCAGCCUGCUCUUCUUCCCCUUUCGGCUGCGCGCUUUCCCACCCCGAAGGGCUGCCAAAAUUUCCCGCGCGCGCUCCGCCCUAACCCUAGCUCCGCCAAAGUUUCGGGUGCGCGCUCUCCGUCCCCGGCUCUUCUUCCCCAUUCGGGUGCACGCUCUCCGUCCCCGGCUCCAUCUCCGUCUCCGUCCCUGGCUCCGUCUCCGUCUCCGUCACUGGCUCCGUCUCCGACAGCUCCAUCUUCGCCUCUUUCUCGAGCUCUGAGGAGAUCCAGUGCCGUCUACGUGUUCGGCUCCGUCUCCGUCUCCGUCCCCGGCUCCGUCUCCGUCUCCGUCACCGGCUCCGUCUCCGGCGGCUCCAUCUCCGUCUCCGUCUCCGCCUCUUUCUCGAGCUGUGAGGAGAUCCUGUGCCGUCUCUUUGUCUCUCGAGCCAACACCGGUGAACCCUAGCUACUGCCCUAUUCCCCUGUUUGAGUUUACCUAUUAUGCUGCCUGUGAUGCAAUUGUUUUGAUAAUUUGCACUGCCAAUGAUGCCAUUGAUUUGUUAAUUUACGUUGAGCAGAUGCCACUGCCCAUGAUGCCAUUGAAUUGUUAAUUUACACUUAUGUACUACUCUACUGUCUCUAGCUUCAACAUUGCCUCUGUCUAAUAUCACCAAAACAAUACAACUUUAGUUUAACCAAACAAAAUAUAGACUUUGAACCAUGGUUAAGUAUUUUUUGUUGCCACUGCCCAUGGUUAAGUAUUUUUGGUUGCUCCAUACAUUUAUACUUUUCCUGCCCUUUGUUGAUCUUACUGCUCCUUCCUACUACUACUCCCUCAAAACGGUGUGGAUCCGGUGUGAUAACGGUACGUGCUGAGAAAUGAACUCAUUUCCAAAUUAUGAAGAUUUGUUUCCUAGCCAUACUGUUAUCACACUGGAUUUACUCUGCUACUACUUUACUACUCUACUACUACUACUACUACCAAUGGGGCAGCUCGCCUUGGUUUAGUUGGAUGUACUAUACUUUCAUCAAUUUUGAGCUUAUUUUGUGGCAUGUGCAAUGAUGAACUAUUCAAAAAUUUAAAAAUGUGCUGAGGCAGUGGCAUAUGCAAUGAUGUGAUACUUUUUAUGCUGAGGCAGCGGCUAUGAUGAUGAAAUUGGCCCCCUACUUGUGAGCCGCUAAACUAGGAUGGCUUGUAUACCAAAUACAAGCAACCAGUUUAGAAGCGAUGUGAUUACAAGGGGCAAAUCUGAGCCAAAUAUGUAAAUGAUUUUUUUUUCUAUUCUACAUUUCUGUAUUAUUCUUAUUCUCUUUUGUAAUUUUCUUAAACUCUUUUGUAAUUUUCUUAAACACUUUUGUAAUUUUCUUAAUGUGUACCACACUAGCAUGAUUCCAUUACACACUUUUGUAAUGAUGUGAUACUUUGUAAUCUUGUUUUCAGAUGAAUAUAUAUAAGUCAUGAUUCCAUUAUAUAUGUUUUUAGAUGAAUGUACAUAAUAUCAUCUUCAUAUAAUUGCAAAAUGUCCCUAUAACUAUAUCUUCGUCAUAGCUUUCAAUGUCGGUCGAGCGUGCUGGAGAAUGGCGCGAGCCAAGCCCGGCAUCGAGUUAUAAGGAAGGCUCGUCGUCAUCAGACGAUAGCACCUUGUACGAGGAGGAGGUGCUAACACCAAGGCCAGAGAAGAAAGGUAGAACGGAGGAAGAACAGGAUCCGACCUAUACGCCAGAAAAGACGGGGCCUUCAUCACGGAAUUCACGCACCACAGCACAUAGUGAAGAGGGCCGCGUAAGUAAUCAAGUAAUACAAUGUCAGGGGAUCUUGUUUAAAGAAGAAAACUAAUGUGCGCUCUUCUCCUAUCCAGCUACCAGUGGUUCCUACGGCUUUGGAGUUCCCUGGGGAAGAAAAGGCAGCAGAGGAGGGGCAUGCCUCCGUUCCCACCCCGACCACUUCAACCAACACCGCCAGUGAAAAGAUGUCUGGCCUAAAAAGGGGCCAACACGGGCGACACAAGGUGAGCAAGAAGGUGCAUGUCAUAACCAAGAUAGGGCCACAUGGAGAGCCCUUGGAGCCACUAACUGUGAUCGGUGUCUUCAGCAACCAAUGCUCCUGUCUAGUCAGAGAGCAUGUGCCGAUCACUUGUAUGGAUUGGAGAAAAGUCCCGGAGGACCUCAAGGAUAAAGUGUGGAGCGAUGUGAAGAAGCGGUUCGAAUAUCCACGGGACCAAUUCAAUGAAGAUCUUUGCAAGGGGCAUGCUAUGGUGAUUGCGGGCAAAGCACUUCGCAGGUCAAAACUCAAUAAGAACUAUGUGCAGAAAGGGAAGACACCUUUUGAGGACUACAACUUCAUCAAGCAUCAUGUCUGGGAGGAGUUCGUCGAAAAAAAGAGUACCGAAGAAGCAAAGGCCAAGAGUGAGAAGUUCACUGACCUUGCAAAGCGGAAUACGCUCCACCACCACGUGGGCAUGACAGGGUACGCCGCUAAGAGGCCGAAGUGGCGACAAGAGGAAAGGGAGGCAGCUGAGGCCGGGCUGGAUAAUCCGUUCGAAGGAGUUGACGAGCGAGCACGUGACUUCUUCUAUGCCCGUCGGCCGAAGAAGCUAAAGGAAGGAAGGAACAAGUACAAUGAGCCACAGACCGAGGAGGCAGAGAAGGCAUUGCUCGCGAUCAAGGCGGCCAAGGAACGAGGGGAGUUCCAACCUCGCAGGGAUCACGACGAACUGACCGAGGCGCUGGGAAACCCUGAGCACCGUGACCGCGUUCGGGGAGUAUCCUCGAGGCAGAGCUGGAAGAAUGUAGAAUCAUGGCAGUCCGACGCUGCCUCUUACCACACUAGGCAGAGAUACAAGGAGGAAAUAUUCCAGAAAGUCAAAGAAGAGGCCAUGAGAGAAAUAGUCAUGGGGACGAUACAAGAUGCUUUCACCAGCACUGACCCGAAGAUGGUAGAGUUGAGGGCGCAGAUGUUCCGACAGGCAGGUGUGCUACCACGACAGGGUGAAGCCGUCGUACAAGGACAAAUGGUGAUGCAUACCUCAGAAUUCCAAAAGAACCCGGUCGAUGAGAUCGUGGUGCAAACACUCUGUACGCUUCAGGUGCCCUGGGGUAGGUCGGGGAGGAAGAAGGAUGUGGCACAGGGAAUGGUACAACCGCAUAACCCUAAAGCCAUGUACAAUGGCAAGCCCAUCCCGCCCGACUAUGCCUUGGUGGAUGUGGCGUGGACACACAAUGACUAUGAGGAGGAUGAACUUGACUUUCCGACUGAAGAUGGAGUUAGGUUGAUUGGCGGAACUAUAGGCUCGCGCGUGCUUUGGAACAAGGCAGACAUUUUGUUAGAAAUGCCGACACCAGCAUCUCAGCCCUCGCGACCAUCAUCGUCUCCCCCAGGUGGCCCAAGUGAUGACGACGAUGAUGACAAUGGUGGCGAGGGUAACAACAAUGUUGGCGGACCAGACAGUAGUCCUGGACGUACCCCGUGUCCCAUCCCUAGCAACCCAUCACAAGGUGGUUCAGGGGGUGCACCGGGUAACGACACACCGCCUCCAAGCCAAGGCAAACGACAAUGUCCACCUGCGCCAAAGAAGGUUGUAGAAGAAGAGGGGGACAAACCCGCUGAACUAACAGAGAUGGAAUGGGCGGUGCACAGAAUAGCACAAGAAUAUCAGUACACAACAACAUUCCAAAGGUAUAUGCGCUAAUGGCAACUAAAUCUAGCCAAUAGAUUAUGUGACGUUCGAUAAUGCUAACAGACUUCUUGUCUCGAUUAUAGGGAGCGAACCCCGCCGUCAAUUUGGCCUCUUUCUCCAGAUUGCCUGGAUAACUUUGAGAAUGGCAAGUUCAUGUUGUCGUUGGGCCAGCUCGUUCAGGAGGAGCCAUGGGCGGUUCGGAGGUUCCAUCUCUGGUAUAUGCAAGCGGCAAAAUUAGGCAUGAAGGAGUUCAUUGUGAGGGUCCCCAAGGAGUACUUCCACUUGGAUGAGGAUGCUUAUUGCCCUGUUGUCUUUCACGACAUGUGUAGGCUACUGCGACGCAAGGAUCUAGAUGUCGUCCAAGUCACUCUUUUUGCCCUAUAAGUUUUAUAACCCUGCAUUGCUGUAGGUAUGCAAAUUCAUUACGAUCAAGCUAAAAAGCUUGUACGACAACUUGUGUUUGCAGGAUGCAAUCAUAUGUGUGCAAGGAACUAGAUAAAGAUAUUAUCUACCUAUCUCCUAUGCAUAUUUCUCAAAGAGCCAUCAUUGGCUUUGAUAUACCAGACACGGAUCCUAGGCUGGUGAAGCUGAAGGGGAUGGAGCGAGUGCUAGCUCGAAACUUGAUGCAAGGAGAGAUCAAAUUUAGAAAGGGACAAUAUGUCUUAGAAGCCAUGAAGAAGAUCAGGGGAAAUGGGUGCAUUCUUGCCGCCCACCAGUUUGGGUAAGUCAAAACGAUACUUACAAUAGCUACUAGGUUUGUCACUUAUUAUAUUUAAAAAUUCGAGAUGAAUAUUAUUUCAAUGGUACAGCUUGGGCGUCAUGGGCCAUUGGAUUGUAUUUAUGAUCUAUCCUCAGGAUGGAAAGGCUGUCGUAUUCGACUCCUUGCGACACUCGAACAAAGAAGGAUACAAGCAUUUCGAAAGUAUCCUGCGAUAGUAAGUGACGACACACCUCAUGCACUCAAAGUACGUAUGAAAUUUGUUGUUGACACUAGUUUUCAUACAGUGCUUACCGAAAGUACGUGGAAGACCCCAACUGCUAUGAUCGGUCGUCUGAGAAAGACAAGCAAAAGUAUGGCCACAAACUGGUGGUGAGGCGAGACUUCCCGGUACUUACUCCGCCUGUCUCUAGUUCUACUACUAUUGAUGGUUCUCUUGUAGGGAUACUACUAUCAGUCAUAAUUCUCAUGUGUUACCUUCAUCAUGCAUGCAUGCAGUGCGCUAAGCAACCUGAAGGCUCAGUUCUGUGUGGGUACUAUGCUUGUGAGUACCUCAGGGCUUGCGAGAAAUUCAACAAUAGCUGGAGGCAGCUGCAGAAAUCCCAAAGUUGGUGGGAAAAAGAAACAAUUGAUCGAAGGAACAUCACACAAACAGUAGCUGACAUUUGUAAGUUUGUCACGGAUCAAUGUUGUCAUGUUGACAGGUAGUUCUUUUAUAUCGGGAGCGAGCUAGCGACAGAAGAGAGGUUCGAGAAGCUACGCAACUGGAGAACCAACGGCUUAGAUAUGAACGACUAUAGGUUGCUGGAUAUUUUUGAGUGAACAUUAUUUUAGAUGUGCUUUUUAUGAACAUUAUGUACAUUGAUGUAAUAUGAACAUAGUUUGUGACAUGCAUGGACCGUGAAAUGAUAAAGAUAACAUAUAUGGAUGUAAUAUAUGUGCUUAUCCUUAUGUCUUUUGCUGUGUAUAUGUUUCAAUCUAGCAAAUUUCGGAUUCAAUGUGGUCAUCCUUUAUACAUAUGUAUUUUGCUUUGUAUAUGUUUUAACCUAACAAAUUUUGGAUUCAAAUUUGAAAAUAAACUGAAAUAAGGUUUUUUUUACUCUGGAUACACUUAAAGGAGGCGGGCAAGUUACAAAAAUCGCCUCUGUUAAUUAAUUAAAGGAGACAGGCAUUUUAAAAAAACCGUCUCGGUUAAAAUGUUAACGAAAGCGGUUGCUUUAUAACGGCCGCCUCCGUUAAAGCAAUUAACCGAAGCGGUUUUCUAACAGCGGCCGCCUCAGUUAACAUAUUAAUCGUACGGUUAAGGCAACAAUUAACUGUGGCCUUUCAUCCGUGGCGGUUGCUUUGCCCGCCACGGUUAACCUGUUUUGCCCGCCACGAUUAAAUAUUUCUGUAGUAGUGAAGCCAACAAAACCAUAAUACUCAUAGAUAAAGGCUAGCUAGGUGACAUACCAUGGACAAACGAUUGAUUCCGUUAAAAAGGACUACUAACCGGAUCCAUGGAAUUUGCAGAAAACCCAUGCCUAACAGCAGGGUCAACAACGACCAAAAACCAAUCCACCUCCAUCACGAGAUUAUUUGAGCUACAAAAGACGAUUUUGGUUACAUACCUUCCGUAGAGUGAGAAAAAGAAGCACAUUGACCUGCGCCUGCACCUUCGCCGUUGCACACAAUUGAUCUCCCCUUCGUAAGGGCACCUGGUGUAGCUCCUACACAGACUCCAUCAAUUCUCCCUUCCCCGAGAUGCCAUCAUAGAUCUCCUCACUUCUUCUGUUGCCAAGAUCUGAGAAGUUGAGGUCAUGGUCAUGGAUCUCGACGAACUUGCCAUGUCCAUGAGCGUUGUCUCCCCAUCGAUCGGUUGGUGAGGCGGCAGCGCCCGCAACAACGAGGAUGGCACAAGACCCUGGCGGGUGAGGCAACAUCGGGGAAGCGGCGGAUGCGGAUGACGGCGUCCAAGGCACGCGUGACAACGGGACCGCCCACGACGUCGAGGAUGGCGCAAGACCCUGGCAGGUGACGGGGUGAGGGCGGAGAUGGGGGAGCGGUGGAUGGGGACAACGGUGGGUCGGUGGCUGAUCGCGCGUGAAGCUGAGGGCUCGAGCGAGGAUGAAGGCGUGCGCCUGCGGAGUCUGGCCAGGAUUGUGGCAUGGAGGUGGGGUGGUUUGUUUUUGGAAAGAAAAUUAGAGGGGGAGGAAAAUGAUACAUGGGCAGGGGGGCCGUCGAUCGCACGCAAGGAGAUGGCAGAUGGACGAAGCAAUAUUGUCGCACCAAAAAAAUAUCCAUUUUUUAGUCUUUUUAGUGGUAGGAGAUUAGUGAGGAGCAAAUUGAUCUUUAGUCAUGCUUCUUGUCUUGUCUGAAAAUCGCUUGAAGCAAGUAUUUAAAAUAUUUAAGAGUUGUUAGGGAGUCUUUAAAAUAUUUCAACUACACUCAUCAUCCUAAUUAGUGAGGGGCAAAGUGAUCUUUAGUCAUGCUUCGUCUUGUUUGAAAAUCACUUGAAGGAAGUAUUAAAAUAUUUAAGAGUCAUUAGAAAGUAUUUAAAAUAUUUCAGGACCAAGGAAAUAUUUAAAUUAUUUAAUAGUCGUUACUGGAGAAAAAAAAUCAAUUUUAGUACUCCUUCUAUCAUGAAAUAUAAGGAAUCCAGUUUUACCUUAAGCCAAAUUAUAAUAACUUUAAUCGACUUUAUAGAAAAAAAGAAAAUGCAUAGGAUUUCAAACAAGCUUAAUUGGAUACAUUAUGAGAAAUAUUUUAUUUUAUAAUAUACCUCUUGGAUGUGAUAGAUGUUAAUACUCUUCUCCAUAAAUUUAGUCAAAGUUACUAUAAUUUGACUCAUGAUAAAACUGGAUCACUUAUAUUUUAGGAUGGAUAGAGUAGCAUGUUAGUCUGAGGUGUUUGUUCUUCAAGAGACAUUUCUUGAGAAAUCAUGUGUAUGCAAGUUUUAUUUGUCCUUGAGGGCAUAUCCUCUCACUCUCUCAUCCAUUGAAUUCACAUUGACAAAUGUGCAAACACAUAUCUUAAUGUGAAUUCAAUGAUAGAAGAGUGGGAGCAUGUGCCAUUAAAGGCAGAAAAAACCAUGUUCCUCAUGUGUACCAAGAUAACUUUCUCAAAGGUAAUCUCCUCAUAGAUGACAUCAAGGUCUAACUUAUGGUAAUAAAUUUUUAGUAUGUUCGAGCAUCCUCGAUAGACUAACAAAAUUUAUAGGAUUUUAAGGAACAAAUCAAUAACUCUUUUAAUGGUUCAAGUACAAUAUACUAUUAUUACCAACAACACAAUUAGACAAUUAGUUCGUAAUCACAAUGACCCAAUUGUAGAAGUGGAUCUUUUGACUCCUUAUUAGCAUGGAGGAAAAAAUGCGACUACUUGGAGGUGUAGAAAUAAGUAAAGCAUUACUCAUCAUAUAAUCAAAUAAUACUUCUAAAGAUUCGAUUUGAUGCAUGUGUUUUCAAUUGAAAGUUUGGAGAGGGGAUUACCUUAGUUAUUGAUACCAAACUCUGAUCAAACUAAAACAAAAAGCUAGCCAACUUAAGAUUUUUUUACUGUUAUAAACACAAAGAACAAAUUAUUGAGGGAUUGAAUGUCCACAUAGGAGUAUUGCCUUUGGCAAACAAGUCUAAGCACCCAUCUAUAUGGGGAAUUUGAUGCUAGACCGGUAGACCUACGUGUUAGGGGCUAAUUCGAUGCAGGACAACAUUGAGUGACGACACAAGCAAUUCCACACAACUUGCAAUGAACUAUGGUGGUUAGCCUUGCAUGACAAUGGUUAGCUCGAUGUGGGACAUCAUCAGCAAUGCUGGCGCAGGCAGUGACAAUGACUUUUUGAUUUGUUGACUUUUGUCACUCGAUGAUGGUGCAACUGAUUGGUUGUGGUAUAUGUCUUGUAGAGUGGCAAGAUAUGUAGUAAUGGCAAGAUGGUGUUGUUUAGCAUGUGAGACCUUUUUCUAAUUUGUUGUUGUUGAUAGUUGCUUUCACUUGUUGUGGUAGUUCUUUAGCUUUGAUGCUUUGCCAUGGUUGUUGACAAUUUGUGAUGGUUGUUGAUACAUUGUAUUCCUUGUGCUAAGUUUAUUCUUGUUUUCUAAUACAAUUGACAACUCUUCUGUUGGAUUCGUUUAAAAAGAGAAAACUUGAUUGGGAAAGGGAUCCAACCCCAGUUUGAUACAAUCUAAAAUGAAGACAAGUAAAUAAAGUGAUGCUAAAUUCACUAGGCAGGGAUUAAGGGAAAGAAAGACCACACCUCUAGACGAGAGCUUGAGGACGAGGCGGCGCAACCAUGAAUCAUUCCAAAAUGCAUCGCACAACCCUAUGUUCUCGACUUGCUCCACAUACUCAUUGAUCGACCAGCACCCGUGUCCUCAAUUUCAAUAUUGUGUACCAAAGUUCGGCAAGACGACGGCAGUUCCUUGCUAACCCAUGAUUAAGGGCAGCCCCAACGCGGGCGGCCAAGUUUGUUGGCCUCACCAAAAAGCAGUUGUAUGCAUAAGAAUUUGAGCUUUCAAUUCACAUAACGGAGCAGCUCCUUAGUUUGACGCAAGUAAACAACUUUAUGUCCUUUCACUGAUUCAAGUACUUAGCUCUAUUAGCUGAAGGCGCCAAUGGAGCAACUCCUUUCUCACUACAACGCGCGUUCGAAUAUAUACUUUAACUUUUUGUCACAUGAAGCUAUUGACUUCUCUAUAAGAAGCAUUGUCAAGCUCCGAGAUUACUAUACAUGAUGAUAUGGAUUUGAGGAGCUUAUAAAAGUUGAUGUAGUAUACGGUAAUACAUUGAGAAGCCCUUUGUGCCAGAGAUACUGGCCUCCGGUGGCAAAAAUAUAGCAGCACCCGGCAAGUCGGGGGUGUUACCUGACGGCCUACCUCUGGCAGGUUUCUCGGUACCGUUGAUUGAUACCGCGGUCAUCAGGUGUAACUUUUUGCUGUCCACCGUCAGACCAUGUCGCUACUGCCUUAUUUUUUUUCUCUCUCUCCGUUAAGCGUUUCAGGCCUUGUUUAGUUGAUGAAAACAAAAAAAAAUUCAAGAUUUUCUAUCACAUCGAAUCACAUGCAUAGAGUAUUAAAUAUAGAUGAAAACAAAACUAGGUGCACAAUUUGCAUGUAAAUUGUGAGAUAAAUUUUUUAAGCUUAGUUAGUACAUAAUUAGACAAUAUUUGCCAAAUAAAAAUGAAAGUGCUACAGUAGGUGAAACCAAAAAAUUUUGGAACUAAACAAGGCCUUAAUGUAACGUGCCUCGCUGUAUCAAAUACUCCGUUGACGGUAUCGUUUCAUCAAAUCAAAAAAAGGAAAAAAGUCUAAAAAACGCCCUCAACUAUAAUUAGUCGUCUAACCAGGGCCCUCACAUUUGAAACCGUCUAAUCUUCACAUUAAGAUAUUUGAAACAGGGCAAAUUAUAUCCUAUGGUGGUUUUGGUCAGUGGUUUUGGCGACGUGGCGUCCAGCGUGGCAGCGGUUUUCCACGCUGGCGCCCGUGCGGGCGGGCGGCCGGCGCUCCUGGUGUGCCCCGCCGCCUCCCCUGGUUCUCUCCCUCGCACUCCGCCCUGUCUUUUCGUCUUCUCUCCAUCGAACUCCGCCCGCGGUCUCACCGGCGACGGACCAGGCGAAGAGCACAUGAUCGGCGGCGGGUAGUAGGAGUCGGCCUCGGUGUUCCCCUCCUGGUGCGUGUACCAUCUUCCUCUCCCGAUGAUGUAGCAGUGUGUAGUUCUUGGCCGUAGGUUCUUGGUUUGGGGGAAUUGGGGUUUUCUCUUUCUGGUUGAUGCAGUAGAUGCUGCAAUUAGUGGUGUAGUCAUGAUUUUAUGAUGAUUGAUUGGUAAAGGUGUGCGCUUUUGUCACCCGAUUGUAGUUGGUGAAUGUAUAUCUUGUAAUUCUAGGGUUAGGGUUCAGUGUACAUCUUUGCAGUUGCAGUUCGAGUAGGGAGGGUAUUGAUCAAUGUUGGUGCUUCUAGUGAUUAGAUGUUGUUGCUGUUUUCAAGCAUCAGGAUGGAUGUCAUAUGCAUUAGGUUUCAUUAUGGAGGAUGGUUUGAGCAACUUGGUUGUCAUUUGCAUUACUUGGGUGGAGGUAUAGCAGAGGCAUGGAUUGAUGUGGACAAGCUGUCUUAUUUUGAGAUCAAGGGUCAUCUUGAAGAUUAUUACAGGUCACACAAUGUGGUCAGGUUGUUCUGGUUGAAGCCAAAGAUGGAAAUGACAAAUGGACUUGUGUUGCUAUCUGAUGAUGCUGGCUGUAAGGUAAUGCUUGAGGCUCACAGUCCUGAUCAGUACUAUCCAGAGGGCUUAGUAGUGGACAUGUAUACAGAGAAUGUUGGCACUGAUUUGCUUGAGGAUGUUGAGCCAGUUGAAGUGUUGCCACCAGAACCUGAAGGUGAUAGCAGUGAAGAACAGAGUGAAGGUGAUCCAGAGAGUGAAGGAUAGAAUGAUGCUGAAGAACAAGAUGUAACAAAAGUUAAUGUUGAUAGUGAUUACAAAAAACACUUAUCAACAUGUGCUGCAACCAGUUGAAGGUCCUGUGAGCUGGCCCAUUGCUGACAUGCCUAGACCUGGACCACCUCAGUAUGUGAAGCUGCCUGGUAGGCCAAAGACAGAAAGAAGAAGAGAAGAAGGGGAAAACCGAAAGGAACAAAGCUGUCCAGAGUUGGCAUAAAGAUGAAGUGCAGAUUAUGUGGACAAACUGGUCACAAUGCUAGGAGGUGCCCCUUAAACCCAGAAGCUGGGAACAAGGUGAAUCCUCACAUCAAAAGAGCCAAAGCAAAGAAUAAGAGACAAGCACAAAUGUCAACUAAGCCUCCAAGUGCUAAGAGGACAAAGUCUUCUUCAAAAAAGGUAUGAAUCAAUUUCAAUCAUUUCUUAACUAAUUGCAUUGCAUAAUACUUAACUAAUUACACAGGUCUAGGCAAGUCCAGCAUCCUCUCAACAAGUGGGUCCAAGCCAACCACCUUUGAGCCAACAAGGACCAAGCCAAGAUUCUAGCUCAAGCCAUGCAAGAGUGAGCCAAGCUGCAGGAAGGGGAGCCAAGCUGCUGGAAGCUCAAGCCAAGCUGUUGGUGCAAACUCAAGCCAAGCUGUUGGAAGGGGGAGCCAUGCAAGCCAUGCAUCAAGGGGUUCAGGAAGAGGCAGGCUACAACACUUGCUCUAUGGAGACAACUACUGAUCAUUCAUGUAAUUCAAAGCUGUAGUUGCGAACUCAGGCAAUCUGCCAACCUUUUGGGUGUAAAAUACCUACAGGGAACUUAGGUGCACUUGUGCUGAUGUUUUUGUGUGUAAAAAUACUUACUACUACUGGGGUGACAUGAUCAGCAGUGUGACAUGAUCAGUAGUGUGACUUAAUGCAAUGAAAAAUCCCAAUGUUCUAUAUGUUUCACCUUGUUAUUUCUGUGUGACAUGAUUUCAUUCAAAAGACAUGGCAUAACAUUGUCACAUGAUUUCAUUCAAAAGAUUUUGCAUAAGAUUGUCACAACAUCUGAUUCAAAAGACACUGCAUAAAAUUGUCACAUGCUUACAUUCAAAAGACAUGGCAUUUCUGUGACACUUCAUUCUGCAGUACUAACAAAAGCUACUUCACCAAGCCAUCUACUUCAUCAGGAGAACCACUACUUACAAUAGCUAGGGAACCACUACUAACAAAAGCUACUUCACCAACCCAUCUACUUGCUCAGGACAACCACCAAGAAAACCACCAGGACCAAACACAUGAGCACAAGUGCAUCAAUGCACUGAUUCUUGGUCUUCAGCUUGCCUUUCAUUGCCAAAAAUGCCAUGUCAUUGCCCUCCAACACCACCUGCUUGGCUAUCAGCUGCUGCUCCUUGUCAUUGAGCUCCUGCUGCUUCAAAUCCAGCUCCUAGUGCUUCAAAUCUAGCUCCACCUACUUCUCAUCAGCCUCCUUCUUCUUCUCCUCCAACUAAACCUCCAGAGCAACCAACUGAUUGGACAGGGCCUCCACUUCUCCUUCCUUGGCCGCCAGAUCAUCCUUCAAGGUCCACACUGCAUCACGCAGGUCUCUCAGCAGCUGCUUGUACCAUGGAGAGCAUUCCUCGUCGACCCAUUGGUAGAACCCGCAUUCAUUGCAACUCUGCACCUCAAUCACCAUUACAAUGAAUUCCCCAUCACAAUCACAACUGAAAAUCCAAAAACAGAACAAAUGCUUCCUUACCCUGACUUUCUAGCAGCGGAGAUACCUUUGAUCGGGCUGAGCUUGGCUCCACGAGAUGAACCUUUUGGCCUUGAGCUUCGGCUUGCAGUCGCAGAACACGCUGGGCUCGUACGCCAGCGGCGGGACGCGGUACGGCACCGACGAUCCACGACCGUCGUAGCCGAGGCCACCCUGCCUGCUCGAACCCACCGAGCUUGUCUGUGACAUUGAUCCCCGCCGCCGGCGCCGCCGAAGACCGAAUCAGCGGAACACGCCGCCACCAAAUUUGCCGGAACCCUAGCGCGGUGGAAGAGAAGCAGGGGAGGCGGAGUGGGCGGAGUGCGAGGGAGAGAACCAGGGGAGGCGGCGGGGUAUUAAAGGGGUUUCCCUGACAGCCCGCCUCCAAUAGGCCGGGCCCGCUUACAUCUGGCAGCUUUUCUAGGACAUAGUCAGUCCCCACAGACCAACACUAGUCUUUUUUGCACACUUUGUCCUUACUCGUGCGCACCCGAGAACUACUUCCCGGUCGGUCACCCAUCUCUAAAUUUCUCCAGGUCAUGCACGCUUAACUUUAGAGUUCUUUGGAGAUGGGCUUCCGGAAAAGAAGUUGCAACUUGUUGGUUUGAGUCCCCUUUUGGCCACGUCCGUGCAUCCAGUGCCAGCUGUGACCACUCUGGGUUCACACCAGCCAUGCACACCAUACCUGCGCAACUACGACACACGCGCUCGUGAAACCGUGAGAGUCGGGUCUGAUACCAUUAACUUUAGAGUUCUUUGAAGAUGGGCUUCCGAAAAAGAAGUUGCAACUUGUUGGUAUGAGUCUCCUCUUGGCCACGUCCGUGCAUCCAGUGCCAGCUGUGACCACUCUGGGUUCACAUCAGCCAUGCACACCAUACCUGCGCAACUGCGACACACGCGCUCGUGAAACCAUGAGAGUCGGGUCUGAUAUCAUUCUGUAACGUCCCGCCUCCCCCACAGACCAACCCUAGUCUUUUUUGCACACUUUGUCCUCACUCGUACGCACCCGAGAACUACUUUCCGGUCGGUCACCCAUCCCUAAAUUUCUCCAGGUCAAACACGCUUAACUUUAGAGUUCUUUAGAGAUGAGCUUCCGAAAAAGAAGUUGCAACUUGUUGGUAUGAGUCUUCUAUUAAUCCUAUUAAGCCCUGGGCCGGGUGUUACACCGCCCGCCCGCCCGCCCUCACGAGCGCCAGCGUGGAAAACCGCCGCCACGCUGGACGCCACGUCGCCAAAACCACUGACCAAAACCACCAUAGGGUAUAAUUUCGCCUGUUUCAAAUAUCUUAAUGUGAAGAUUAGACGGUUUCAAAUGUGAGGGCUCUGGUUAGACGACUACUUAUAGUUGAGGGUUUUUCUUUUAGACUUUUUCCAAAAAAAAAAAAAGACGGCAUCGGAAAUCCGCCUGGGCAGCGGAAGGGUGGACGGACAGGGACAGCAGGGAAGGGGAGGCGAAAAGGAAAAAAUAUACACCCCGGUGCCAUCCGCCAGGCGGCAGGUUGCGCUGCAGGAUGGCGCUUGCCCGCAGUGGAUCCGAAUCGCCACCCCCGCAAUAGCGAAUAUCCUACUCGCUCCGCCUCUGUGCUCGCCCCUCCCGCCCGCUGAUAUGAUAUCCAUCCAUUCCAAUCCCACCUCUCCCGCUCCGCCUCCCUCUUCGUCCUCGUCUCCCUCUCGCAGCCGUCCGGCGUCCUCGUCUCGUCCCCCCCAAAAGAAUCCGGACGUGGACUGACCACUCCUUUUCUGGUAAGCACUCGCUACCUUGUUCGGAUGGAUUUGCUCCUUCUAUUCGGCGACUUUGUAGCGAGCUUCUUUAUUCAAAUCUCUACGUCCAGCUUUGCUAGCUUGCUGCUGCGGAUUCACUUGCAGCUACCGACCCAAGUGUUUGGGGGUUUUAAACUGAAUCUCAGUGUCCCGAUGAGUCCCGAGUAAGAAUUGACGGUGGGAGUGGCGAUGUGAAUGGAGCCGGCGUGCGGAGAUUUCAGAGCACAGCUAUUUGGGAGCAGGGCAGUGUUCUGUACACUGCUUCGGAGUGUGAUGACGACUGGCUGUGAGCCUGGAGCUGCUGGUCCUGUCUGCGUGCAGGCCCGCAAAUAAUUGGGUUUCCGCCAACUGCAGUGGAAGCAUCUAGACGAUGUGACCAGGGGCAUAUGGUUUCUCUAGGUUCAACUAUAUCAUUAGUCCUCGCUGAACACAAGUGCGAAGAGCUGCAGAGUGCAGACUAGAAGGACCAGCCGGCUAGCUGCUAACAAAAUUUAAGUUACUCUACUUUUUAGCUUUUUAUGGCUGUCCUUAUACUCUCCUUUUAUUUUGAAGAUAAACCACUUGGUACCACUAUAUUCUAAUAUUGAAGUGAAUGUGUAUGAGUACACUCGGAUUAUAGAAAUUCCACGCCUGUGAUUGCAAAUCUAAUUUGUUUAUGAUGUUCUUCAUUUAUUCCAAAAAUUUAGUAAUUUUUCUCUUAAAUAUGCUUGCUAGAAGAGAGAUUGGGAAAGAGGUCUUACUUAUUGAUGGGAGUAUAAUAGUUAAUUGGGAUAAAUGUGUCUUUAAAUCUCUAUAUGAUACAGGGCUAAGACAAGUCCACAGGAGCUAAAUAAAUAAAUAAAUAACUCGACCAAGGGGGGAGACAUCCCCCUAAUUUGUCUUAAGAAGAGUGUGCCGCGACUCGACCCAGGCUGGCUCAGCAAACCGCUUCUUUGGUGUGUUGUGCUGACCAGUUGCACCGUGAGAGUGUUGGAACAGUUAACUAAUACAAGUUACAGUAUGUUGUCAAUUGAAGGAAGUAUUGUUCUUCUCGUGUCUACUUCUGAAGUUUUGCUCCAUAUUCUCAUCUUGUACUGCUCUAUUUGGUAUCUACUUUGUUUUUCCCCUUCCUUUACUCACCCCUAAUUUCUGUCUACUACUCUGUAGGGCAUUUACAUCUCUAAGCUCAAAGAGGAAGGAUUAUGAAAAUGGCGCACUUGAUCACUAACUGUAGUUUCAGUACAUCUCCUGCUGUUCAGACAUUCUCCAGUUCUCCUAAUUACUGCCGCAGUGUUGGCCAAUUACAGAACUCAAAAUCUUCAAAUUUAUCCCUCAAAUCUUGUUCCAGGAGACAAAAGAAGUCAUAUGUUUCCUGUGCUAGUGCAGCCGUACAAGGACAGACACAAACACCUCUUACUGGUAGCCAGCAAGCUUAUGAGCAUUCAUCCUCCAAACCUAAAAAGGUAAUGGUUAUUGGUGGAGAUGGAUACUGUGGGUGGGCAACAGCUCUUCAUCUCUCAAACAAAGGUUAUGAGGUUGCUAUUGUUGAUAAUCUUGUUCGCCGUCUUUUUGAUCACCAACUUGGUCUUGAUUCCCUUACCCCCAUAACUUCAAUCCAAAAUCGUGUCCGUAGAUGGAAGUCUCUCACUGGUAAGACAAUUCAGCUCUUUAUCGGUGACAUAUGUGAUUUUGAAUUCCUCUCGGAAGCUUUCAAGUCUUUUGAGCCGGAUGCUGCUGUUCACUUUGGUGAGCAAAGAUCCGCACCAUACUCUAUGAUUGAUCGUUCGCGGGCAGUCUACACGCAGCAUAACAAUGUCAUUGGGACACUUAAUGUCUUGUUUGCCAUAAAGGAAUACAGUGACGAGUGCCAUUUGGUUAAGCUAGGAACUAUGGGUGAGUAUGGAACACCAAACAUUGACAUUGAAGAGGGGUUUAUCACUAUUACUCACAAUGGAAGAACAGACACCUUGCCUUAUCCAAAACAAGCGAGUUCUUUCUACCAUCUAAGCAAAGUGCAUGACUCCCACAACAUAGCAUUUACCUGCAAGGCUUGGGGUAUAAGGGCCACAGAUCUUAACCAAGGUGUGGUCUAUGGGGUCAGAACAGAUGAAACUGCACUGCAUGAAGAGCUAUCUAACAGAUUUGACUAUGAUGGCGUCUUUGGGACAGCACUAAAUAGGUUCUGCGUUCAGGCUGCUGUAGGGCAUCCACUUACAGUUUAUGGAAAAGGUGGUCAGGUAUGUCUUUGUUAUUUCUUGAUAUGCUACAUAUGGAACUUCUCAUUUUAUAUGGCUGUUCUUCAUCCCAUCCCCCCGCCCCCUCUUUUCUAGAAAUAUGACAGGCUCAAAUUAUUAGUGUCCAUCAGUACUUAAGAUGCCAACAAGCAGUGGUUUAACUCACUGCUUGCAUUUUUGCCAUAAAUCUUGGGAACUCGAAAUCAUGUUAGCUGUAGCCCCUCAGCAAGUAUUGAAAUUGAAUUUGUGUCAUUCUUUUUUGUUUGUUUCUGCCAAAUGAUCAAAACGGUAAUGAUUUGGUAACCUGCUGGUUAUAUAUCCUGAGUGUGUUACUCUAAAGACCUCACUGAUUUUCCUAAGAUCACCUGUCUGGGAUAAGAAGUCCAGAACAGUUUCUUUGCCUCACAUGGUAUUCCAAACUGGAGACUCCGUUGAUCCUACUGCUGUACUUUGUAGUUCUUCUAAGCUUGUCAGCCACAUUUUUUUAAUAAGCAAUCUAAGGCUGUGGUUACACAUACAAACACCAUUCUUCAGAUAUCUCGUGCAAAAGCGACCAUCUCAUAGUCAUUAGCUAUAAAAAAAACCGUACAUGACAGCGAGAUUUGAUUAAACAUUGUACUUUCAGUGACCACUUGAAAUUACUUUUAGAUCAGCAAAGUGUGGCAUAAAUUUACUGAACGAACUUUUUGUUCCUUUCCACUCCAGACCCGGGGAUAUCUGGACAUCAGAGACACUGUACAGUGCGUUGAGCUAGCAAUAGCCAACCCAGCCAAACCUGGCGAGUUCAGAGUCUUCAACCAGUUCACUGAGCAAUUCUCUGUCAAUGAGCUAGCCAAACUGGUGACAGCCGCAGGAGCGAAGCUUGGUCUAGAAGUGCAGACCAAAUCGGUGCCCAACCCACGAGUCGAGGCUGAGGAGCACUAUUACAACGCCAAGCACACGAAGCUCAUUGAGCUCGGCCUGGUGCCCCACCUGCUCUCAGACUCCCUGCUUGACUCGCUUCUCAACUUUGCCAUCCAAUACAAGGAUCGGGUCGACACAGCAC